rnacentral:rRNA from 1 species
UACGAAGGGGGCUAGCGUUGUUCGGAAUCACUGGGCGUAAAGGGCGCGUAGGCGGCUUUAUAAGUCGGGGGGUGAAAGCCUGUGGCUCAACCACAGAAUUGCCUUCGAUACUGUAGAGCUUGAGACCGGAAGAGGUAAGUGGAACUGCGAGUGUAGAGGUGAAAUUCGUAGAUAUUCGGAAGAACACCAGUGGCGAAGGCGACUUACUGGACACAUAUUGACGCUGAGGUGCGAAAGCGUGGGGAGCAAACAGG